rnacentral:rRNA from 1 species
UACGGAGGGAGCUAGCGUUGUUCGGAAUUACUGGGCGUAAAGCGCGCGUAGGCGGCUUUGUAAGUUAGAGGUGAAAGCCCGGGGCUCAACCCCGGAACUGCCUUUAAAACUGCAUCGCUUGAAUCCAGGAGAGGUGAGUGGAAUUCCGAGUGUAGAGGUGAAAUUCGUAGAUAUUCGGAAGAACACCAGUGGCGAAGGCGGCUCACUGGACCGGCAUUGACGCUGACGGUGCGAAAGCGUGGGGAGCAAACAGG